rnacentral:tRNA from 3 species
GGGCGAUUAGCUCAGUGGCAGAGCACUGCUUUUACACAGCAGGGGUCGUAGGUUCAAUCCCUACAUCGCCCA